rnacentral:rRNA from 1 species
GAUGAACGCUGGCGGCGUGCCUAAUACAUGCAAGUCGAACGCAUUGAGAGAAGUGCUUGCACUUUUCAAUUUGAGUGGCGAACGGGUGAGUAACACGUGGGCAACCUACCUGAUAGCGGGGGAUAACGAGUGGAAACAUUCGCUAAUACCGCAUAACAAUAGAGAAGGCAUCUUCUUUAUUUAAAAGGCGCUUUCAAGCGUCACUAUCAGAUGGGCCCGCGGUGCAUUAGUUAGUUGGUGGGGUGAAGGCCUACCAAGACGAUGAUGCAUAGCCGAGUUGAGGGACUGAUCGGCCACAUUGGGACUGAGACACGGCCCAAACUCCUACGGGAGGCUGCAGUAGGGAAUCUUCCAAAAUGGACGAAAGUCUGAUGGAGCAACGCCGCGUGUGUGAUGAAGGCUUUCGGGUCGUAAAGCACUGUUGUAUGGGAAGAAAUGCUAGGCUAGGAAAUGAGCUUAGUUUGACGGUACCAUACCAGAAAGGGACGGCUAAAUACGUGCCAGCCGCCGCAGUAA